AAUAAAGUGGCUGAGAUUAAGCGAUAAAUUGUAAAUUUAUUUACGAAAGUAAUUUUCCUUUAUUA
rnacentral:tRNA from 1 species